rnacentral:SRP_RNA from 1 species
GCCGGGGACCUGUCGAGAUAUAGCGAUUCGAAUCAGGUCAGGAUCGGAAGGUAGCAGCCUUAAGGAUCUCCCUAUGUGCCCUCAGUGUUCUCCGGCUUU